rnacentral:rRNA from 1 species
AUUGCCUUAGUAACGGCGAGUGAAGCGGCAAAAGCUCAAAUUUGAAAUCUGGCACCUUCGGUGUCCGAGUUGUAAUUUGAAGAAGGUAACUUUGGAGUUGGCUCUUGUCUAUGUUCCUUGGAACAGGACGUCACAGAGGGUGAGAAUCCCGUGCGAUGAGAUGCCCAAUUCUAUGUAAAGUGCUUUCGAAGAGUCGAGUUGUUUGGGAAUGCAGCUCUAAGUGGGUGGUAAAUUCCAUCUAAAGCUAAAUAUUGGCGAGAGACCGAUAGCGAACAAGUACAGUGAUGGAAAGAUGAAAAGAACUUUGAAAAGAGAGUGAAAAAGUACGUGAAAUUGUUGAAAGGGAAGGGCUUGAGAUCAGACUUGGUAUUUUGCGAUCCUUUCC